GAACUCAGGGAACUGAAACAUCUAAGUACCUGAAGGAAGAGAAAGAAAUUCGAUUCCGUAAGUAGCGGCGAGCGAACGCGGAUUAGCCCAAACCAAUAAAGUUUUCUUUAUUGGGGUUGAGGACAUAUCAUAACGAAGAGGUAUCGUAAUUGAAGAGGUUUGGAAAGACCCACCACAGAAGGUAAUAGUCCUGUAUGUUAAACGAGAAGACUUUAGAUAUGAUCCAGAGUACCACGGGACACGUGAA
rnacentral:rRNA from 1 species